AUUUUGCGCAAUGGGGGAAACCCUGACGCAGCAACGCCGCGUGGAGGAUGAAGGUCUUCGGAUUGUAAACUCCUUUCGCAGGGGACGAAUGGCUGCGUGAAUAACGCAGACUGACGGUACCCUGCGAAUAAGCCACGGCUAACUACGUGCCAGCAGCCGCGGUAAUACGUAGGUGGCGAGCGUUGUCCGGAUUUACUGGGCGUAAAGAGCGCGCAGGCGGUCGUUCAAGUCGCGUGUGAAAGCCCCCGGCUCAACUGGGGAGGGUCACGCGAUACUGAUCGACUCGAAGGCAGGAGAGGGAAGUGGAAUUCCCGGUGUAGUGGUGAAAUUCGUAGAUAUUCGGAAGAACACCAGUGGCGAAGGCGACUUACUGGACACAUAUUGACGCUGAGGUGCGAAAGCGUGGGGAGCAAAC
rnacentral:rRNA from 1 species